rnacentral:rRNA from 1 species
UACGGGGGGGGCAAGCGUUGUUCGGAAUCACUGGGCUUAAAGCGUGUGUAGGCGGAUCGUUAAGUGUCUUGUGAAAUCCCACGGCUCACCCGUGGAACUGCUGGGCAUACUGGCGAUCUUGGGCCAACUAGGGGCAACUGGAACAAGCGGUGGAGCGGUGAAAUGCGUAGAUAUCGCUUGGAACGCCAAAGGUGAAAACAGGUUGCUGGGGUUGUGCCGACGCUGAGACACGAAAGCCAGGGGAGCAAACGGG